rnacentral:tRNA from 1 species
GCCUUCGUGGUGUAAUAGUGAACACACACGGCACGUAUUCGAGAGGUCCAUGGUUCGAGUCCCGGCGGGGGCA